UACGUAGGGGGGCAAGCGUUGUCCGGAUUUAUUGGGCGUAAAGAGCGUGUAGGCGGCCUUACAGGUCAGCUGUGAAAACUCGAGGCUCAACCUCGAGACGUCGGUUGAAACCGUAAGGCUAGAGUCCGGAAGAGGAGAGUGGAAUUCCCGGUGUAGCGGUGAAAUGCGCAGAUAUCGGGAAGAACACCCGUGGCGAAGGCGGCUCUCUGGGACGGUACUGACGCGUGAGACGCGAAAGCGUGGGGAGCGAACAGG
rnacentral:rRNA from 1 species